rnacentral:rRNA from 1 species
UACGGGGGGGGCAAGCGUUGUUCGGAAUUACUGGGCGUAAAGGGCUCGUAGGCGGCCAACUAAGUCAGCCGUGAAAUCCCCAGGCUCAACUUGGGAACUGCGUCUGAUACUGGAUGGCUUGAAUUCGGGAGAGGGAUGCAGAAUUCCAGGUGUAGCGGUGAAAUGCGUAGAUAUCUGGAGGAAUACCGAUGGCGAAGGCGGCAUCCUGGACCGAGAUUGACACUGAUGAGCGAAAGCUAGGGGAGCAAACGGG